rnacentral:rRNA from 1 species
UACAGAGGGGGCAAGCGUUGUUCGGAAUUACUGGGCGUAAAGGGCGCGUAGGCGGCCCGCUAAGUCGAACGUGAAAUCCCCGAGCUCAACUCGGGAACUGCGUCCGAUACUGGUGGGCUUGAAUCCGGGAGAGGGAUGCGGAAUUCCAGGUGUAGCGGUGAAAUGCGUAGAGAUGUGGAGGAACACCGAUGGCGAAGGCAGCCUUCUGGGCCAACACUGACGCUCAUGCACGAAAGCGUGGGGAGCAAACAGG